rnacentral:lncRNA from 1 species
AUUAAGAGGUAAAGAGAGGUGUUAUUAAUUAUAAGAGUAAGCUAUAGUACCAUUUUCUGAUGAGAGAAGUGCUUUCAUAUCAGCUGUGACCAGAAGAGCAAAGAAAUUGUGUUCAGAAUUGAUGAGGCCAGCUGGUCACGUGUGUGACUGAUGGAGGGUUCAUUUUUCAUGGGGCAGUCGUGUAAUCCUCUGUUCAUCUGCGUCAUGAAAACAUCAUGAUUAAGAGAGAAAGGAACUUAUUUUAUGUUCAGAAACUGCAGAACAUGUUUCAGCACAUCUUUAAUCCUCAGCAUGUACUGAUCAGGCAGAGAGGCAACACAAUACUUUUAAAUCAUCAUCCUACUAUGAGACCCAAAUACUGUUUUCAAGACAUUGGUGAAAUAUGAUAGCAAUUACUACAACCUCAGGAUAAUCUGGUUGUGGGAUGUUUAAAUAUAAUUUAUCCAUAUACAUACGCU